UGUUAGCUGCAGAAGAUCACAAUGGAGAUAAUCACUACACCAAAUAGUAAGAGAUUAGAAAUCAAAAUACCAUGAUUCAAAUUAGGGUAUGUUUUUAACAAGUACCCUUGUGAGUUAUAAGCUGAGCAUAAAGGACUUGUGACUUGUCCCACAGAACCGAAAUGUAAGACUUCUAGAAAAAAUUAGCUCUCCAUAUUAAAAGAAAAAAAAAUUAUUUUGAGAAGCGCUUUCACUGUCAAAUAACAUUUGCUUCUCCUUGCUGGGAAAUACGGCUUGGCUAAGUUAAUUUUUCCUCCUCCUCUUCCUCAUUCAGCAUCUCUCUAAAAAGUUCUUUCAUGAAGAUGAACAUUCAAAAGCAAAUUCCAUUUUGUAACCAAAUAGUAUAAAGACCUUGUUCAUUAUUUAAGAACAUCAAUUAUUUAGAUGAUCAGUAAUCAUAUUGCUAUUACUAAGGCUCAGUUUAUUUCUUAGAAAAAGCAUAAGACCCUUUGGGUUUAUGUUAAGUCUCUCUUAUUUCUUAGAAAAAGCAUAAGACCAAGUUCUCUAGCCUCCUGUCUUGAUAUUGACAUAUCAAUGUCAGGCACUCUAUGGAUGACAUGCACAUAUGGUACAUGCCCCCCUCAAAGUAGAUUGAAGAACAUGCUUAAACUGUGUAAGACUCCUAUAUUACUUGGGAAGAAGCUAUAUCCUUACUGCAUUUGACCAAUAUCAAAAGACAAACAGUCAACAUGACUUCUAUAAACUAAAUUAAGGUACAACAAAUGUUUAGAUAGACAUCCUCUUGGAAGAAUUUAUAUCCUUGUUAUAUUUGACAUUUUAACAGGCAACAAAAGGCGCACACAGCCAAAUGACUUGAUCAUAAGGUGUAUAAAGAGUCUUUACCUAGAAGAUCCAAGUUGCUUGUAGCUGAGAAUUGAGCUAACUUAUGGCAGAUAACAAAACACCUGUUGCCGUCAUCCUAAAAGAGCAACUAGAAGUUGACGCAAGAACACAACAAGGGUAGAAGCGCAGUUACAUGCAUACACCAAGAGUAGCAUGUUAUGACAUAUGAGUUACUAUUGCAGAAUAUGACAAUUUGCAAAAGCUUAAAAAUGUGCAGAACUCAUCAAAAAGGGAAUGGAAUUUCCAGCUUGCACUUCAAUUCAUUUGAAACUGUACAUAUAAUAUAUGUGAAGGUCUUAUAAAAGACAACAUAAAAAUGUUUAUUCCCUUUUGAAGGCUUACUCAAAAUGGCUACUUAUCUUUAAUGCAUUAUCGAUAUUGCAUGAACAUCCGUUCAUCAGAAAA